rnacentral:rRNA from 1 species
AGAAUCAACGCUGGCGGCGUGCCUAACACAUGCAAGUCGCACGAGAAAGGGGCUUCGGCCCUGAGUAAAGUGGCGCACGGGUGAGUAACACGUGAAUAAUCUACCUCCGAGUGGGGAAUAACUGAGAGAAAUCUUGGCUAAUACCGCAUAAUACCUUCGGGUCAAAGGAGCAAUUCGCUUAAGGAGGGGGUCGCGGCCGAUUAGUUAGUUGGCGGGGUAAUGGCCCACCAAGACUAUGAUCGGUA